UACGUAGGGGGCAAGCGUUGUCCGGAUUUACUUGGCGUAAAGCGCGUGUAGGCGGGAACGUAAGUCCGGUGUGAAAGCCCCCCGCUCAACGGGGGAAGGUCGCUGGAAACUGCGUUUCUUGAGGGCGGCAGAGGGAAGUGGAAUUGCUGGUGUAGCGGUGAAAUGCGUAGAGAUCAGCAGGAACACCCGUGGCGAAGGCGGCUUCCUGGGCCGCGCCUGACGCUGAGACGCGAAAGCGUGGGGAGCGAACGGG
rnacentral:rRNA from 1 species